rnacentral:tRNA from 1 species
GUCAGGCUAGCUCAGUCGGUAGAGCACUGGACUCUUAAUCCCAGAGUUCUGGGUUCAAGUCCCAUUUUAGGCA